CCUACGGGUGGCAGCAGUGGGGAAUAUUGCGCAAUGGGCGAAAGCCUGACGCAGCGACGCCGCGUGAGGGAUGAAGUUCUUCGGAUCGUAAACCUCUGUCAGCAGGGAAGAACGGUCACUGUGCUAAUCAGCAGUGAAUUGACGGUACCUGCAAAGGAAGCACCGGCUAACUCCGUGCCAGCAGCCGCGGUAAUACGGAGGGUGCGAGCGUUAAUCGGAAUUACUGGGCGUAAAGCGAGCGUAGGCGGUAUGUCAAGUCAAGGGUGAAAUCCCCGGGCUCAACUCGGGAACUGCCUUUGAAACUGGCAAACUUGAGUGUGUGAGAGGAUAGUGGAAUUCCAGGUGUAGGAGUGAAAUCCGUAGAUAUUAGGAGGAACACCGGCGGCGAAGGCGGCCUGCUGGACCGUAACUGACGUUGAGGCUCGAAAGCGUGGGGAGCAAACAGGAUUAGAUACCCUAGUAGUC
rnacentral:rRNA from 1 species